rnacentral:rRNA from 1 species
GAUGAACGCUGGCGGCGUGCCUAAUACAUGCAAGUCGAGCGAACAGACGAGGAGCUUGCUCCUCUGACGUUAGCGGCGGACGGGUGAGUAACACGUGGAUAACCUACCUAUAAGACUGGGAUAACUUCGGGAAACCGGAGCUAAUACCGGAUAAUAUCUUGAACCGCAUGGUUCAAUAGUGAAAGACGGUUUUGCUGUCACUUAUAGAUGGAUCCGCGCCGCAUUAGCUAGUUGGUAAGGUAACGGCUUACCAAGGCAACGAUGCGUAGCCGACCUGAGAGGGUGAUCGGCCACACUGGAGCUGAGACACGGUCCAGACUCCUACGGGAGGCAGCAGUAGGGAAUCUUCCGCAAUGGGCGAAAGCCUGACGGAGCAACGCCGCGUGAGUGAUGAAGGUCUUCGGAUCGUAAAACUCUGUUAUUAGGGAAGAACAAAUGUGUAAGUAACUAUGCACGUCUUGACGGUACCUAAUCAGAAAGCCACGGCUAACUACGUG